ensembl:misc_RNA Metazoa_SRP Metazoan signal recognition particle RNA
GCCGGGCAUGGUGGCGCGUGCCUGUAAUCCUAGCUACUCGGGAGGCUGAGGCAGGAGAAUCACGUGAACCUGGGAGGCAGAGAUUGUGGUGAGCUGAGAUCCCACCACUGCACUCCAGCCUAGGCAACAAGAGUGAAACUCCAUCUCAAAAAAAAAAAAGAAAGAAAUUAUGUAUGUCUUUCAUAUGUUUUGUUUUUUGAGAAAGAAUUUCGCUGUGUCACCUAGGCUGGAGUGCAGUGGUGCAAUCUCAGCUCACUGCAACUUCUGCCUCCCAAGUUGAAGCGAUUCUCCUGCCUCGG